UGCGUAGCUAGUCGCCUGGUCCGUAGUUGUACAAUCUGCAGAAAGAUCACUACCGUAAAACCGAGGUGCGAUGGCUGUCGCUGACCUUUUUUGGUCCGUGCACGCCCGAGCGCUCUCACACAAUCCAUCUCACUCCUUGUGUACCACCGCGUGGCUUCCCCUUCUGGCCUGUCCGAAGGGGGGCUCGCGUUUUUACCCAAUCUUGAAUUGGUGUAGAAUGUCCUUUUUUGCGAUAACACGCAAUUAAUACAACAUUCAACAACGGAUCUCUUGGCUCUCGCAUCGAUGAAGAACGCAGCGAAAUGCGAUACGUAAUGUGAAUUGCAGAAUUCAGUGAAUCAUCGAAUCUUUGAACGCACCUUGCGCCCCUUGGCAUUCCGAGGGGCACACCCGUUUGAGUGUCGUGAAAUUCUCAAAACCAUUUCUUUUGGUCAUUUUUGAUCAUGGAAGGGAUUUUGGGCUUGGAGGCCGUUUGCUGGUUUCACCUUGAAGCGAGAUCCUCCCAAAUGUAUUAGUGGGGUCUGCAUUGGCGGUCCUUGGCGUGAUAAGUUGUUAUUACGUCUUUUGGAUUUUUGGCGCUGUGCUCCUGCGUCUAACCGUCUCAUUGACAACGAUGGUGUUCCGGUCGCCGCCGAUUUUUCGGUGGGAGGGGCUUGACCCACGAAACAAAUCUUAUCUCUCCUGAGUUUGACCUGAUGACGUAGGAGCGUAUGUUAUGCCAAGU
rnacentral:rRNA from 1 species